rnacentral:sRNA from 1 species
CUAUUGGGGUUCUAGUUCUUAAACUCAAUCAUACACAUGACAUCAAGUCAUAUUAGACUCCAAGACACUAAGCAAGCUUCUUCUUGCUUCUCAAAGCUUUAAUUGUGUAGUUGAAGUCUGUAUUAGUCUUUGGCUUUAUAUCUUCUAACAAGGAAACACUACUUAGGCUUUUAAGAUCCAGUUGCGGUUUUUGUUCUUAUACUCAAUCAUAAACAUGACAUCUAGUCAUAUUUGACUCUAAAACUUUAACCAAGCUUCUUCUUGCUUCUCAAAGCUUUGAUGGUGUAGCUGUAGUCCGUAUGACUCUUUGUCUUUGUAUCUUCUAACAAGGUUACAAUACUUAGGAUUUUAAGAUUCGGUUGCGGUUCUAGUUGUUAUACUCACUCAUACACAUGACAUCAAGCCAUAUUUGACUCCAAAACACUAACCAAGCUUCUUCUUGCUUCUCAAAGCUUUGAUGGUGUAGCCGUAGUCUGUAUGAGUCUUUGUCUUUGUAUCUUCUAACAAAAAAACACUACUUGGGCUUUUAAAACUCGGUUGCGGUUUAAUUUCUUGUACUCAAUCAUACACAUGACAUCGGGUCAUAUU